CAGGCCAGAGCCCUCCUGCAGCACCACCGGCAGGGUCACACCCCGUGUCCUGCCUUCGUUUUAGUCCCUUUCCCAGCCUCACGUCGUCCAAGGGCAGCUCCACGGCCAGGCCCUCGCCCAGGGGACCAGCAGGUGAAAAGCAGAAGGGACCUGGGGAGAACUGCGGGGGGCAGGGCAAGGCUCCGGCCUCCCCUCCCCACCCCCACGAGGCGACACCGCCCCAGACAGCAGCAGAGACAGCAGCCCCAGGAGGAAAAACAAGCCGGCUGCCGUGCGUGCGGGCCACUGUGCAGGAAGCAAUCCGGUUUCCUCUGCAGGGCGUAGGGGCUCCAGCCAACCGCAAUUUGUAGCAGUUUGGGUAACGCCCAGGGUGUCAGCUGCUGGUCUGGGGACGAGGGACGUCCCACCGGCUGGUCUGGCCAGCAGCUCAACCCAGACAGCAUUUACCAAACCCCUGCUGUGCGCACUGCCUGGGGCGGGUGGGGGUGGGGGGCAGGGGCCACACCCCCCACCGGGGAUCACAGCCUCCAGGGGUCCCAGCAGGGCGCUCCUCACAGCUGCAAGCACCUAGAGGCGCCGCGGCGGUGCUGCGAGUGUGCCACCAUCCUGGAAGCACCGCAGCAGCCCUGGGGCCUGAGCUGGGCCAGCCUUCCGAAGCCAGGCUGGGGGGACACGCAGGGACAGGGGGAAGGCCGGGGAGGCCCAAGGGCAGGGGCCAGGCCUGCAGCCGGCCUCCCAGAGUGACCAGGCAGCGUGCAGCCCACCCACUGCAGGGCUUUGCUCAGGGCGUGGCAAGGAGGCCGGGGAAAGGGGCGUGGGCCCUGCGUGCCCUGUCCUGGGCACACAUGUGUGGAACCAUCUCAGGGCUUCUCCCACCUCAGAACAUCCAGGUCAGAGGCAGAGCUGCCCUGUGUCCUGCUGUCACUCCCUUGGUGGGUCACC